CGUGCACUCAUGCUCAAACCAAGGCUGCAUUUUUUUUAUACUCUAGAAGCAUCUACAUUUUUCUCCACUCUUCCAAUGAAAAUAAAUAAAUAUCUCAUUUGCAUCAGUUUUCUUAGAUUUUCAAGACUAAAGGGUUAAGACAUUUAGUGUUUCCAGACAGUUCAUCUUGCCAUUGUUUCAAGUUUGUUUAGUUUUUUGGUUCUUUCAGUUUCAGAAUUAUCACUUCGUUGCGGUAUUUGUUCGCUCCUGUGUUUCACUUUUCUCUCGGUGUGUGAUAUUUCAACAUGGCGGAAAGAUAUACCAUCAAUAUGAUCACUCCAACUACUAAAAAUUGGACAUGUAAGGUCCAAGUUGUUGAUAAAAGUCGACCAAGGGACAACAAAGAUAAAACCACAAAAUACCAACUCUUAAUUCUACAAGAUGAAGAGGAGAAUCAAGUUCAGGCCACUAUUUUCAGUAUUGAUAUAACAUAUUUUGAAAAAGAAUUUGCUCCUUUCAAGACUUACUUGGUAUCUAUUGCAUUUGUGAAAGAACCACUUCUUGGAUAUGAAAAUCCACUUAACAAAUUCAUUUGGACACUCGAUAAAAACACCAUUGUUGAACCAGUUGAAGAGGUCAAACCUCCAGAGGAUCCAUUACCACCACCAACCCGACUAGCUGUUGCCACAUUUGACACUUUUGAGUAUCAACCCAAAGAAUUUGAAUUUGGUAUUUAUAAACAAAUAAGAAUGGAAGUUUGUCGAAACAGAAUAUUCCUAGGAGUUUCUUUAUUGGUUCUUUUUGGUAGACAUUAUUCUGGUUUAUGCUACAUCCGUUGGUCUUCUCUACUUUCAUGGUUUGAGUUGAAAUUUAAUUUCAAGUUGCUUUGGAUUACCUUUUACAUUGAUAAACAUAUAUAUAUACAUAUAUAUAUAUAUAUAUAUUUCUAUAUUGGAGCUUUGUAUAAUGUAUAUAUGUUGAGGGAUGCUACGUUGAUUGUAUAAUUCAGUUUUGUUGUGCAUAAAAUACAACGAAAUCCUUGUUCAACAGUUUUUAAGGGAUUUCUUGCAUUAAUUCUUACCUCGUGGUGCUCUCGUGCAUGUGCAUGUCCAUAUACAGAUAGACAAAGAACGAAAGGACUAUGCAAAAGAAGUUUGGUAUUAGGGAAAGAUUGGUAUUUUCAGUGGGUCUAGCUUUCUUAUAACUUUUGUAUGAACUACCUUAUUACAUGAUGAUGGUUGUACUUUUAGGAGUGUUAUUGUUUGUUUUUGCAAAGAUUGUCUUUUUCUUCUUCUUUUUGGUUUGUUUGUGCAUCUUCCCCUCUCUUUUGUUUAAGUAAUGUAAUUGAAUGCCUUGUCCCUUUGAAUCAUUCUGAAAUAAAGGUUCAAUUUUUAUAAGGAUUGAUCUUCUUCCUAAUUUCUUCCUGCCCUUUUUAUUUUAGAUAAAUUAACUUCCCAAUAUUGUGGACAUAGUCUGUUAAAGGGGAAUAUACUGCUUACCCUAUUUGAUUUAUUUCCUCUGCUAUGAUUUUGUGUUAUUUCUUAAAGAUCAACAUUGAAUUUUGAUCAACAGCUAAUGAUAUCCAAGUUUAUUGAGGUUCCUGGUAGAUAUUGAGUUCUUGUCAUGGUGUAUUUCUUUUUCAUACCUACUUUGAUUUGUUGUACUCGUAGGGAUAAGAUUUGCGAUCACUCUGCCUCCCCUUAACCCACAUGUUUGAUUUCACUAGGUUGUUGUUUGAGUUUUUCCGUCUUUCCACGAAAAUUUCAUUUUUUAUUUAUUAAUUAAGCAGUUUUAAACUAAGUUCUCGAUAAGUAACUCUUACAAAGUUGGAAAAACCAUGUUUGAGGUUUUAUAUCUUCUCCUUUAUUAGUCUCUCAUAUGUUCAUCUGCUUAUGAUAUUGAUAAUAGUAAGUCGAUCACCUUAGAACCAAUACCAAAGAUGUUUAUGUUGCAGUCCAUAUUGUAUGUAGUUGAUCAAUUUCACUGUCUUAUAUUCUGACUUUUAUAGGACAAAAAUGUUGGUAUUUUUUUUAUAAUAAUCUAAUUUGAAUUUUAUUAUUUAUAAUAUAAUGUUUUUACAAUAUCACAUAUCUUCUAUAAUUUUAUUUUAAUAUUUGAAAACAUCCUUCAGAGCAUAUGCAGGAAAAAACCAACAAAACUAACACUUUGGGAGGACUUUAUUGAUCAUGAGGGUGUUAAACUUUUCAAUCAACUUCAUGAUUACCCGAUCAUUCUUGCUAGGAGAAUUGGGAAAUCAUCCUCAGGAACGUCAAAUAGAUUCGUUGGUUUGACGAGCAAAUUCAAUACUACAAUUGAAAUCAAUCCUCCAUAUCCACAGGCUGCUGAGUUAAGGACAUGGAUCAAAACAAUUGAAACAAAGCUUGUUGCUUAUAAGAUGAAAAGUACAACUCUAAUAGGCUCUAUUAUGUUGAUUCCAUUUGAGGAUGAGGUUAUAUCUGUGGCUAACAUCCAAGCAAAACCUCCGGGACAAGUAUUUAAUGUUGAGGCUGAAUUGUCCCUUCCAAGUAAGGAUCAACUCUUUAGUGUGUUAGCAUGCUCAAAUUGUAAGCAAUUGUUCACAAGAUAUAAUGUGUGAAGGGAAAUCUACUGCACAAGUUGUCACCGAUCCACACAUCUUAUUCCUAGAUGUCAAUUUGAAGUUACUAUUAAGGACAACAACGGUUUUGCAACAGCUAUUGUUUCGGAUGAAAUUGCAGAGAAAUUGUUGCACCUCACUUCAGAAGAAAUUUAUGAAAUUUUCUUCGUCAAGAAAGAAACAUUAUUGCUCCAAAAUGUGGAAGAUCAAUUGAACGGCAAGAUAUUCAACAUUCAAAUGAAAAGGCUAUUCACAAAAAAAUUGGAUGCAAUGCAAAAAUUAUCCAUUUUGUCUUACCUGGAGAAACAAGAUGUGAUUCAUAAACCAAUGACAUCUACGACAGUCAAUGUUACAGAUGCAAAAAAAGCGCACAAUUGAACAUCUUAGUUCAGGGAAAAAAGAAUAUCCAAGCAUGGCAAACAAAUAUAAUCCUUCCACCCACAAACAUAGCAUGGAAAUGAAAAAUCAUCCCAUGAAAAAGAAUUAAAAGUUGGAACACUUUUUGUUGUGGUUCUUGAAGUGAUUUUUUUGGAACUCUGUUGUUGCUGCCACUGGAUGUUGUGUUUUGCAAGCUUUUGAUGUUGCUAUGUGGAUGUCUUAUGCCCUGUUCUUUUGUAGAAAUUGAAAAUAUGUUCUCCUCUGGUAACAGGUGAUUUUGAUUUUAAAAAAAUGGUCCAGAAGAUCCAAGCAUGAAAGAUGCAUCUACUUUUGUCUAAUUUAAAAUAGUACGUAAAUGUAUGUAAUUAGCACUCCCA